AUGUCCUUGCUAACCAUAUGGAAUGCAGAAACUUCCUUCAACCUAUUAUUCUUUCGAUACCUGAUGAAUUUUCAGAGAUCGUCCAAUCCUCAUUGCUUAUAUCUUGGCUCUGCCAUUAUUCCUGCUGAAUUCAGUGAAACUGCUUUGAGAACCUCAGCCAGAAAUCCACAGGACCUUGUAUCAAGCCAACAGUAAAACAGUGCUUAAGAUGAGGAUGAAUUAGAUAAAAACAACAUCAAUGAACAAGGAACAUCGGUGGCAAGUUUAUGUAAGAAUGAGUCUCGUUAUUUAUUAAAUUGAAAGCAGUACUCUCAUUGAAGUUUCUCAUCAGGUUACAGCAAGAUUUGACCAACAUGACUGAGGGAGAAAAAUAAUUUUUCUAACUUGCAUGCUCCUUCUUCUGAUUAUUUUGUCAAAUUACUUGCAUUGUAUAUCAGUAACUGAUUCCCUGCUGAGAACAGGGUGAUAUAAUAUUAGAUGUUUCAGGACAGAACUCCUUUAAAAAUAAAAUAUAUAUAUAUAAUUUAAGCA
rnacentral:lncRNA from 1 species